AUGUUAGAUAAACUUUGGGAUGAUAUUGUUGCUGGCCCUCAACCAGAACGUGGCCUUGACAAGCUUAGAAAACUCACCACCAACGUCAAAGAUGAAGGAGGAAGUAGUCAAUUAAUGAGGAGCACGUCGAUUCCGACAACACCGACGACACCGGUGACACCGACAACACCUUCAUCGGCGCGUAAAGUUGACAACGUUUGGAGGAGCGUGUUCAAUCCCGGGAGUAAUUCUGCUACUAAGACAAUUGGUGCUCAUGUUUUUGACAAACCACUUCCCAACACCCCCACUGUCUAUGAUUGGAUGUACAGUGGGGAUACAAGGAGCAAGCACCGUUGA